AUGAAGUGAAAUUUUAGAUGAAAUCAAAAUUAAAAUAAGUCACAAGUAAGAGAGAGAGAGAGAAAAGGUAAAGAAAAAACUUAAAAUGAAUUUUUAAAAAAAAUUAAAUUAACACGUGUCAUGUAAUGAUUGGUGUGUGAACACACUUGCUUUUUAAAAUCUGAGAUUGAUCGAAAAAUGAUAUAAUAAUAUAUGUUCAAAAUUGUUUAAUAGGGUAAUAAGACGGUUGCAAAAUUAAGAUAUCUUUUUGAAAAUUCGGAACAACUUCAAUAGUGAAUUUAUGUCUUUUUUUCUUUUUAAAAAUUGCAUAAAUACAAUAUAACAAUGCUUUUGACUUAACUAGAUACUUCAUUUGUCUCACAUAAAAGAAACAAGGAACUUUUGUGACACCUUGGAUAUCCACACAUAAUGGAUCCAAGAAUGUACAUUGCUGCAAUGGAAGGGAGUAUGGAAGAUGGUGAUUUUUCACUUGUUGAUCAUCUGAAAAGGGAGGAAGAAAAUGGAUACCAAGUCACUCCAAAGGGAAAUACAAUCCUCCAUGUGGCAGUUCACUUUGGCCAACGAGGUUUCGUGGGAGAAGUCCUUAAGAUUACCCCGGCUUUAUUAUGCUAUAAGAAUAAGAAAAAUGAAACUGCGCUUCACAUUGCAGCUAAUUUAGGACAAAGUGAAGUGGUGAGUGAACUACUUAGCAUAGAAGGAAAGGAGACACUUGUGAGGAUGACGGAUGACAUUGGAGAUACGGCCUUGCACAAGGCCAUUAGAAGUGGACACAUUGACAUUGUCAGGAUGUUGGUGAAAGUAUUACUAGAUCCUGAACACGACUUUCCAGCCAAUAAGGCUGGGGAGACACCACUUUAUUUGGCUGCAGAGUCUGGUUUUCAUGAUGCUUUGAUUGAAAUCUUGAACGUUUGCAAGGAACCAACUUAUGUUGCAGGUCCAUCCAAUCGAACACCUCUACAUGCAGCCGUAAUUCAAGAACACACGGGUGAGUACCUCCUGGAUGAUUUCAUCAUAUAUAAUAUGGAAAAUGAUUAAAUUUGUCCCUCUACUAAUAAAAAGAAGCUAUAUUUACCUUUGGUUAAAUUUAUUUCAAUAAAUAUACUGCUACAGUCAUACUUUAUGAUCUUGUUGAACGGAAAAAUCAUCCAUUUAUCAUCAUCAUAUAUAAUAUUUGACAUAUAUAUCCAGAAUGCGUGAGAUCACUAUGGCAAUGGAAUAAACCUUUAUGCGAAGAACUUGAUAGAUGGGGUUGGAAUUCACUACACUAUGCUGUUAAACAAGGAUUGAAAGAAAUAGUUUCCGAUAUGUUAGGAUGGAAGAAAUCUUUAGCCUACCUUCCGGCUGGCAGUGAAAAUAACUGGACGACAACGUUUCACAUUGCAGCUAGUGAAGGUGAUGUGUUGAUGAUAGGUGAGUUAUUAAACCACUGCCCAGAUUGUUGGGACAUGCUUAAUAGCAAUAGUCAAAAUGCACUUCAUGUUGCCUUAUUGAACGGUCACCAAAUGUUCGUCAUUGUCUUCUAUAUGAUUGGAUUUUGGAAUAGCCUUGUUGAUGAGGAAGAUAAUGAAGGCAAUACUCCACUCCAUUUGCUUGCUGCCUCUGGGGACAAUGUGCCGCAAAUGAUAUUAGACCAUCCUAGAGCAAAGAAGAUGGCAUUUAACAAACAAAAUCAGACUCCACUUGACAUAGCAUUGUCUCGCACAUGGACAACAAAGAAGGUACUCCCUCUUGUCCGUGACGGUUUUCCCUCACUUCUUUGGACUGACUCAGUCCGUCGGUUUUUUUAAAAUUAACCAUGUAAAUAAGAUUAGCAAAAUUUACAGAAUCAAAGGUAACCAUAGCCUGAUAAAGGGUUCGAUCCAAUUUGGACACCCAUUUAGGAGGUGCCAAACAGACCCAUCAUUGAUUUGAGAUCUUGAUUAAGUGAAUACCUAGUCUUUGCAAUUAAUGCUAGGCAUAAUGAGUAUAAGCACCUCAAAAAAAUCUCUUUUCGUCAUAUGAACUUUAAGGUGUAUGAAGUUUCAUAUUUGAUUUUUUAAGCAGAACAAUAGGACAUAUGGCAACCUAAGUGGAAUUAAUGCUCCUAAGAGAGAGUUUUGGCACAUUGAAGUGCUAUAAACCUAGAAGUCACCAGUAUCUUUAGCCUAAACAUACUGGCAUCUACAAAAGUAGGAGAAUCACGGGGGCUCGUAGUGACAAGAAGAGUGUUUUUUGGCUGGUCUUUGAGAGACGGGAGCUGCAUCUUAUCCAUUCAAAGGGGGCCAAUAGCCUCCUUAGGAAGGUAGGAAAGUUUUAUCUUCUUGAAGGGUGGUGGCAUGCUUCGCAAGAGCAUCCUCAAUUCCAUUGCUUUUUCUAUAAUAAUGACUAAUGCUGACAUCUUCUGUUGAAUUUUGUGUCGAAUAUCAUGCAAUCUUGAUGGGUGGUUUCAAUUUGGUUGGUUUUUGCACUGCUUUAGUAGUGAUCUUUAUUGAGUAAGGGUGUUUUGUCAUGAUUCCUUCAUUUCUGUUAUUAAACUGCUUUGAUCCGUUUUUCAUUGAGUCGGGGGUCUAUCGGAAACAACAUUUCUACCUCCAUGGUAGGGAUAAGGUCUGAAUACACCUACCUCCGGAGUAGGGAUUACAUUGAGUAUAUUCUUCUUGUUGUUGUUGGUAAAGAUAAAAACUAGAGUAACAAUGAAUCAUAUCUUGUGUUUUCUAAAAUGACAGUCUAUCUAUUUUUAGUAAGAACGAAAAUAAAAUGAACCGAAGGAUGCAGUUAUUAAUUCCACUUUUUCUCAAGGACUAUUAUAUUAUACACUAUAUCUUUCACCAGUUAGCUUAUCAAUUUUAUUACUACAUGUCACAUAUAUUAGGAGAAAUUGGUAGCCGAUAUGUGCAGCAUUAGCGGAGGAUUGGGACAACGUGACUUCAAGGUAAAACGGAAAAUAGAAACAAUCGGGAACAUACAACAGAUGAGGAAAAAGGAGGAUGAUGAAGCCAAAGCUAAGAAAGAAAAAUUAGAAAUCGAAAAAAUUAUGAAGUCAACUCAAAUACAAGUAGUUGUAGCUACUCUAAUAAUGACAGUCACGUUCGCAGCUGGUUUCACAUUACCAGGAGGUUUAUACAGCGAUGACAGUCCUAAUAAAGGGAUGGUGAUUCUAUUAAAGAGAGCAACGUUCCGUGCAUUUGUUAUUUCCGAUGUCCUGGCAUUUUCAUGUUCAGCUGGUGCUAUAUUCAUCUAUUUCUUCCUGGCAGAUAUGGAGGUAGACAACGAUGAACCUAAACGGGACUGGUUCAGAAUGUUUAAGAGGAGCUAUAAUAUAGCAUGGACUUCGCAACUUUUGGCAAUGGGUACAGUUGUAGUUGCAUUUGUAACUGGUAUGUAUGCUACUUUAGAAAAUUCACUUGCUCUUGCUGUUAGUGUUUGUGUCAUUGGUUGUGUCUCUUUGCUUAUGUACUUUUCGUAUAUCAUUUGGGUAUAAUCAGGAGAGAUGUGCUUACUAGUAGUAUUCGAACAACGUACAUAACCUUAAUUUGAGGUGAUCAGGUGUGCUUAUUAUUCGAGCAACUCUCUGUUGUCUAAUAUAGCUAGGAGAUCAAACUUAAUACUAUUUUUUUCUUCAUGUAUAGAGACAUGUGAUUGUGAAUGAUACUAUUUGUUCUAGCAUGAUUUUCUUGAAUUAUUUUUCCCAUUCCUCUUGUUUUUGUUUCGAAAUAAAGUAAAUUGAUUUGUGAUUUAUCAACACGUCUAUAUUUAUUCAACAAGAUCCAAUAAUUAGCUUAAUAUGUAGCCAUGUGUUUGUCUAAAAAAGUGUACCAUGAGUCUAUUUACUUUAGUGUAUAUAUUGUACUAUUGUAGGUAGAACUUUAAGAUUCUUGCGUGAAUAAGUAAAGCAUGAUGAAAUCUUCAAGUAAUAUAGAUCUAUCCCCUUCUCGGGCCGUGUAAUUUUACAUGAUAUCAGAGCUCUAAACAUAGAAGCUACGUUGUACAAAUUUCUAUCCAAAAACAAUGGCCUCUAGUUCCCUUUAACCCUCCUUGUCUCUUUUAGCCUCUGCCCUGCCUCAUCUCAUGGUUGUUUGUCCUGUCAUCUCUAGGGCCCUAUUGUCACAAAUUAUGACGUAAGUUUAAUGACUUGGGUCGAUCUUAAGCAAACCACACUCCAAAGUGAAAUGGAAGUCAUCAACCUAGGCCAUGGCCUUACUGAUCACUCACCAACCUAAAUUAUUUAUGUAAUGUGAUAAAUCAUUUAUCUUUUGUUAUUUUUUAAAAAGGCCAGUCAAGGUGGAAAUUAAUACAUUCAGCCACUUUACCUUAGGUUUUAAGCCAAAAAAAAAAUAUAAAAAAUUAAAACCCAAUUGAUCAUUUUAACCAAAAAUCACCUGUAUAUAUAAGAUAAAUUUUCUGUAUUUAAUUUUGAACCCCUCACAAACAAGAAGUAAAGAGUGGGUGGUAGAUCUCUUUAAUAAUUGACUCUCACAUUUUGUGGCUCAAAUCCCAUUGUGAACACUGAACAUUAUAUUUUUAGUUUCUCUUCAUUUAAUUUUGGGAACAAUCUUUCACGUAUUUUUUAUUAUUAUAAAAAAAAGUGCUAAAAUAAUAUAUUUAAACCCAAAAAAAUCGAAGGAUCCAUUCCCAAAGGCUAAAAAUCACUUUUCAUCUUUCCAAAUCCCUAAAUCACGUCAUUAGUUCUUCCCCCAAGACUCAAAAGCCAAAUAUAAAAUCACUUUUCAAGUCUCUUGUAACAGAACUAUUUUUUUUAUAAACUACUCUCUCUGUCCAACAAUAGUUGUCCACUAUUGAUUUGACACACCUCUUAAAAAACUAUAAAUGGAAGAAUAAUUUUAUUAUAUCACCAUUUUGAAAAAUGUAAUAUCAAAUGACUAUAAUUAAUGAUAAGGAUAAAUUAGGAACUAUAAGUGUAAAAUUGUCCAUUGAUUUAAUAAAGUGGACAAGUAUUGUUGGACAUCCCAAAAUAGUAUAGUGGACAACUAUUGUUGGACGGAGUACUACUUUCUUGGAUUUGUCUUUUGUUGGCUUAUCCGCACAUUUAUAUUUUUAUUAUUUUUCAAACCCCUUGAAUGAAAAUCUUGGAUCCGUCACUAGCCCACCCAAUAUUUGCCUGGUAAGCUCCUUUAUACAUUGAUAAACACAAGGGCUAAAAAGGUCCAAAUUGACAAGUUAAAAUCAAUUAAAUUCAUAUAACUACAAGGUUCGAAUUCGAAUUUUGCUGGUAGCAUCUAAUUAAUUAUAUUACAUAUGUUCAUUAUCAACUCGUCCCAUAUUAACAAGUCCUCUUCAUUUGUCAAGAAAAUCUACGUAGUUGUUUGUUUUUAUUCAGACAUGAAUAAAAUUCAUCUUGGUGACUUCAAGCAAAUACUUAUAAUCUCUUAUAACGAUUCAUUCUUUUACGUGAAAAUGAUCUUUUAUGAUCAAAUACAAAUUGAAUAGAAAAAAAACAAUCUUUUUAAGAUUUUUUAUGUAUAAAAAAAAUAUAUCGUAAAAAAAGACUUUGAAACUAAAAAUAAAUUUGCACGAUUAUCCUUGUCCUCUUGAUUACUUUGAUGUUUUUACUUCUCUAGUUCACUCCCUUUCUCUAUCAUCAUACUCCGACGGCUGUUAACUUCGAGACUUGAAGUGGGUCCACCACAAAAAUAAAUAUCUUUUGCUUACAUAACUGAACACACGCACACAAAAAACAUUUUUCAUCAUAACGAAUACAUACUUUAUGCUACUAGGUUAAAGAUUCGAUUUUUUUCAUUUAGGUUUUACUUUUUUUUUUUUUGUAUUAAUAUGGGUUAGGGAUUCGAUUUUGAGUAUAUGGUGUCGAUAAAUAUUGUGUUUUUUUUGUUGGGAGUAAGAAAAUGUUUAUAUUUAUUUGUGUUGUGUUGGGUUAGGCAUUUGACCGUGAAAAUAAAAAUUUAAUUUAUUUUACUUAGAAUUUUUAAAGUUAGAAUUGGAAUAGUGUUUGCCAUAAUAUUUGAAUUUUUUUUUGAAUUUGAAUGUGUUUUUCUAUAAGGAAAAAUUCUUUUGGUCAGAAAAUUUGGUCAGAAUGGUAAAAUAACAUAUUUCACACUAUGUUUGUGGAAAAACUUUUUGGCCAGAAUAUUUGGCUAGAAUUUGGCCAGAAUGAUAUUUUAUAUAUGUUAUUUUAUCUUUUAAAAUAUUUUUAUCAUUUUAAAUUUAAUACCUUUUAACUAAAAAAUGGAAAAAAGAUCAGUUUAUUUUAAAAUAAAAAAAAUAUUAUAGAUUUUUUAAUUUUUUGGCCAAAUUUUUUGGCUAUUUAGCAUUUCCCUGUGUUUUUUUUACCUUUUAAAACAUUUUUAUGAUUUCUUUUCACAGUUUUCUAUGGUGGGAUUAUGCAUAUACAAAGAAUUCAGGAAUUUAAUGGGGGGACAUUUGCAAUAUUGACGACACACAUUUAUUUGAUUGGUGGUUGUAGUUGAUAUUCUUUAAUUUGGUUGGUAGAAAAAAUAAAUGAGAUGCUUUUGGUAAAAAAUAAGAAGUUGAGGUAAUAUUAAUGACACGUUUUUUUCGUUGAUAAAAGUGUCGAGAAAAAAUUAUUGUGUUUUGUUAAGCGUUUGAAUAUGAAAAUAAAAAAUAUUUUACUUUAUUUAGAAUUUUUAAAGUUAGAGUUGAAAUUAUGUUUGGCUAUAAUAUUUGAAUGUGCGUUACUAUAAAUAAAUAUUUUUUUCACAGUUUUCUAUUGUGGGAUUAUGCAUAUACAAAGAAUUCAAGAAUUUGAUGGAGGGACAUUUGCAAUAUUAAUGACACACAUUUAUUUGGUCGGUGGUUGUAGUUGAUAUUCUUUAAUUAGGUUGGUGGAAAAAAUAAAUGAGAUGCUUUUGGUAAAAAGGUAAAAAGUUGAGGUAAUAUUAAUGACACAUUUUUUUUUGGUGGUUGUAGUUGAUAAAAUUGUUGAGAAAAAAUUAUUGAGUUUUAAACUUUUAGAGAAACAAGAAGUAAAAAAUAACCUACAAGGGUCAAAUUGCUCUUUUAGAUAUUAUUAAUCAAAGAGAAAAGGUUAUUUUGAAAACGAAUUUCACGAUUGAUAUUUUAUAUUAAUUUCGUCCUCACACUCAUUCUAAUACAUCUCUCUUUCACUCUUACUCUAGUAGCCCAGAUCGUCACAGCACCCCCCCCCCCCCCCCCCCCCCCCCCCCCGCCCAACACACACACACACACAUUCAUCUGUCAUAGUAUUUAAUUAAUUUAUAUUCAAAUAUAAUUUUGCUUACGUGACUGAACACACAAAAAAAAACAUUUUUCAUCAUAGUGAAUACAUCCUAAAUGCUACUUUCUUUGUUCCUAUUUACUUGUCUAUUUUUGAUUUUACACAUCUAUUAAGAAAAAUAAUAAUUGACAUGAUAAAUUUAUCAUUUUACUCUUAUUAGUUGACAGACCAAAAUUAAUUUAUUCAUUACUGAGGUCUUACCUUUUUCAAAAAUAUCAAUUUUCUAAAUAAAUUGAGGAUAUAAUAGAUAAUUUUUUUUUUUUCUUGAUUUGUUAAAAAUAACAAGUCAAAAAGGAUAAAUAAAAAAUUAUAAUUAGACAAAUAAAAAGCAACAGAGAAAGUACUAGGCUAAAGAUUCGAUGUUUUCCAUCUAAAUUUUACUUUUUGUGUAUGAAUAUGGGCUAAAGAUUCAUGAUGGAAAUUAAUGUAUUCAGUCACUUUACCUUAUUUUUUAAGCUAAAAAUAAAAAAAAUAUUUUUUAAGCAAAAAAUAAAAAAUAUUUUUUAAAUCAAAAGUAAAAAAAAUAUUAAACCCAAUUCAUUUUCACCAAAAAUCACUUGCCCACCCAAUAUUACCAAAAAUCACUUGCCCACCCAAUAUUUGACUGUAAGCUCCUUUGUACAUUGAUAAACACAAGGGCUAAAGAGGUCCAAAAUGACAAGUUAAAUUCAUUUAACUACGAGGUUCGAAUUCGAAUUUUGUUGGUAACAUGUAAUCAAUUAUAUUACAUGCUCAUUAUCACCUCGUUUCAUAUCAACAAGUCCUCUUUAUUUGUCAGAAAAUCUACAUAUUUAUUUGUUUUUCUUCAGAUAUAAACGAAAUUCAUUUUGGUGGCUUCAAGCAAAUACUUACAUCUCUUAUAGUGUGUGUUUGGUAUGAAGGAAAAUGUUUUCCAUGUAAAAUGUUUUCUUGGAAAACAAGUUAAUUUUUGACUUAUUUUUUCAUGUUUGGUUGGUGAGUAAAAAAUAUUUUUCGGAAAUUUUUUUUAGUAUUUGAUUUAUGAAUGAAAAAUAUUUUUGAGAAAUAUCUUUUAUUAUUUUUAAUAGAGUAGAAAAUAAUUUUUGAAAUUGAAAAUAUUUUUUAAAAACAAACUUAAAUUUUUUUUGGGGAUGGGGGUGGAGGUGGGGGAGUUGAGGGUAGGGAUAAAAAAUUGAAAUUUUGAAGUUGGAAAUAUUUUUUAAAAACAAACUUAAAUUAUUUUUUAUUGAGGGGGCGGGGCUGUUAAUAUUCAUUUUGAUAUUUUGCACAGUUUAGAAAUUCAUUCAAAUAUAGAUAAGUUUUCUUACACGAUUAUUUUAUUAACUAGUGAUUUCGAUCCAUAAUUUUUAGAUAAUGAUAUUGUACAAUAAAUGAUUUUUAAUUUUCUAUUUAAUCUAUUUCUUAGUUUUUAAGUGGGGUGGAUAAUAUUUUUGGCAUUGAGGAAAAAUAUUUUAAAAAUAGAUAGAAACCCUAAUCUUUGGCUUCUCUCAAACAACUUUCCAGCCGCCACCCUCAAAAAACCCCCAAACCACCAGAUCUAACAAACAACAAUCCAAAUUCCACCCGAUUCUCUGAUCUCCGGCAAGCUUGAACACCGACCCAGAAAACCCAACCAAAAGCCACCACAAACCACCAAAGAUCAGCCAACCGAAACCCCAUCCCAUUACUCCAUUUUCUCAGACCCCUCACCCUCUUGUUUUCUACCUCACGCAUAGCUACUCAACCAGCGAGCCUUCGAGUUCGAAGCUCGCAACCAGACCCCUAAACGACCCCAUCUAUUUUCCGUUUUCCGGCUGGCUCCAAGCCAAAACAACACUGCUGCGACCAGCAGCUUGUACCAGACCCCUUCCCCUUUUGAUUUUUUGUUUGUUUUGCAGUGAACCAGAAGCUCCAACAGCGGUGGACAACAACCAAGCUCCGACGACAGCGAACCCAAGCCAGACCCAGCAUCAACGGAUCUCAAAACCACAACCAGCUCUAAUCUUCGCUGCCACCUGCCAUCUCCUAUCACCCUUCUUCCCUCCGUUUUGCGGUAAACCUUAUCUUCUCUCAUCAAUGUUGAUUUUUGCACUGUAUUGUUUUGUUUUGGUUCUCGAUUCAACAAUUUUAGUAUUGUUUUGUUGAGAUUUGAACUCCAUCCUCUCUGAUAAUUGUUGUUGUUGCUUGGACAUUGAUUAUUGAAAAGUUAUUAGUGAUGUUUCUUUUGUUUGUGUGCAAAAUUAAUUUAGUCUUCUUUUAAUGUUGCUAUAAGGAAUUAUGUGAAGAGAUAAGAUAGUCUUUGAUGCCAUAUAUUUUUCACUGUUACCGUUUUAAGUAGUUUUUCAAUUAAGUAUUAUUAUUAUUAUAUAUGUUUGUUCCAAUUCUAUCAUCACUAAUUAAUGUUUGGUCACUUUUGCAUGCUUUUUUUUUAAAAGUUAAAAUAAAAUAAAAUAAAAUUAAUUAUAUAGUUUUCUAUGAAUUUCCAGCAGCCAUGAAUUUUUAACAUUCUAUUUAUUUAAUUGCAUAUAUUAUGUGUUUAAUUGUUUUAAUAUUUAGUUGACGGCUUGAUAUUGGUUGUUUAACUUGGUGCAUUUAUGAUGUCUAUUGUAGUUUAUAAUAAUUUUCAUCUCGUCCGUCACUUAAUUUUGUAUAACUCCAUCUUCGUAUUCAUGAAUUAUUUUACUUUUCAUUAUUGUUGGUGUUAAAUUGAUUCUUGUUAUUAUGUUGGCAAUUUGCUGCUGUUCAAGUUUUAGUUUGCUUAUUAUUUUAUUGUUUGUUUUUGUCUAAUUUUCAUUAUUAGUCUUAUAAAUUGUUAUCCUGUUAAAAUUGACCAAUGAGAAAAUCUCUUCGUUGAUUUUUGAGGCCUCUUCAUUUUAAAAGACGAAAAUUUAGUUAAGUUCAUAUACUUUGUUUAUUAUUGGCCGAUGAAGAAAUUUUCGUCGAUUUUCAAGGCUUUCCAUGUUAAUAAGAUAUGUUUUUAUUUUGAUUUAUUAUUCAAUUCAUUUAUUUUUUAUUUGUAUUUAUCUAUCACUAACACUUUUAUUAAGUGUCUUUACAGGUACUCGGAGUUGCUUCCCAUUGAAGCUAUUCGAACAAUAUUUUUGAUUCAUUAUUGUGUAUUAUUGACGAUAGGUAAAUUUAAGCCGUUUCUUAUAUAGUUUUAUUUUAUUACUUGUGUAUAUUGUAUGUUUGUUUUUAUCUUUUCCUCAAUUUGAAAAAAAUGAACUCAAUCGGAACCCAUAAUUGUGGAUUUCGAAGUAUGCCUAUCACCUUUUUUUCGAAAUAACUUGAACUUCUUAUCUAGAAUUUUGAUUUUGUAGAUCACUUAAUGGUUUCCUAGUUUUUUUCUAAAAUUAGGUGGCGAUUUUUUUAAAAUUCGUUUAUUUUUAAAAAAUUUUUAAAAUUGAAUCAAUUGUUUAUUUUUUGAGUCACCGCGACGUUUCGCUCUAUUUGAAUAGAGUAUGGAUGUAAAUAGAGAGUUUUGAAAAAUGCUUUUCUUAAGUUUUGAAGGGAAGUCAUUUUUCUUGAAUUUGAGGAAAAUGAGUUGAUUUCGAAUACAUUUAACCCAACCAAACAUGAGAAAAUUGAAAAAUGUUUUUCGAAAAAUAUUUUCCUUCAUACCAAACACACCCAUAAUGUCCCCUUCUUUUUACGGAAACAUAAUCUUUUAUGAUCAAUUACAAAUUGAAUAAUAAUAAUUAUAUGUUUUAAAGAUUUUUUAUGUAUAAAAAUAAAGAUAUGCCGUAAAAAAGGACAGAGAACUAAAAGUAAGUUUGAACGAUUUUCCUUGUCCUCUUGAUUACUUUGAUUUUUUUUGCUUCUUCUCUGGUUCACUCCCUUUCUCUAUCAUCAUAAUCCAAUGGUUGUUAUUCUCUUGGUUCCUAUUUAGUUGUACCAUUUUAAGUUUUGCGUCUCUUAAGAUACUAUGUAAGUUAACCAUUGUAUUCCCUUGAAAUGAAUUAAUUUAUUUUGAUUAAUUAAAUUAAUCAAUGAAUAUGAAUUAAUCAUUUUGUUUUUCUAUAUUGGUCAUAUUCAUAUUUAUAAAGCUAAUAACUUUCCAAGGUAAAAUAGAAAAAAUAAUGUCAUUUAUGUAUUAGUUUUGUGAAAUGGCAAAUACUCUCUCUGUUCACUUUUAUUUGUCACUUAUUCCUAAAAUAAAUGUUUAUUUUUACUUGUCACUUUUGACAUAUUAAGAAAAGACAAUAAUUUUUUUCAAUGUUUUAUACUCAAUGUUAAAUACUUAGUAUUUUCCAAGACAUCAUUUAAUAAGGGAUAGUUUGGUAAAAUACUUAUAUCAACAAUUUUUUUCUUAAUGUUUGUGUUAACGGAUGAAGUAUUAAAAAAUAUCUAUUUUUAAUAAAUAGGACCGAAAGGAGUAUCUUCGAGACUUUGAAGUGGGUACACCAAAUUUGCCUGGAGUUAUAAAAGUGUAGAGAAAAACUUAUUGGGUUUAUUUAAACUUGUAGAGAAACAAGGAGGAGGAAAAAAGACCUAUAAGGGUCAAACUGCUCUUUUAGAUAUUAUCGAUCAAGGAAAAAAGGUAAUGUUGAAGACCUAAUCAAAUCUUUCUUUGGUCUUACAGUUUUCCCAUGUUUUUUUUUACCCAAGUGUGUGUAAUGUAUGGAGGAAAAAUAUUUUUCAAAAAAUAUUAGCUAAUUUUCCUAUGUUUAAAUUUAUAAAAAAAGAGUUUUUUAAAAAUGAGUAAAAUAAUAUUUUUAGUGGAUUCAGGGGAAACAAGUUCCACGAUUGAUAUUUUAUAUUAAUUUUAUCAUAACACUCAUUCUAAUACAUCUAUUCUUCACUCUUACUCCCCCACACCCCUAUACACACAUUCGUCAAUCAUAGUAUUUUUUUAAUUGAUAUUUUUUAAUUUGGUUGGUGGAAAAAAUAAAUGAGAUGCUUUUGGUAAAAAAAAAAAAAAAAAAAAAGUUGAGGUAAUUUUUAAAAAUAAAAUGAUAGUAAAAAGUUAGGUGUUUGCAAAAUGGCCAAACAAGGAUUUUGGAAUAAAGUGAAUAAUAUUCAUGAUCAAAUGGGUAUUAUUUUUGAAUCUGAUUUCAAAUUAAAGAUGUGUAGAAUAAAUCUUCUUUAAUCUUAUAAUUUUAAACGUAUCUGAGUAAAAAAAAAAUUCCUUUUAAAUGUACUAAGAAAGAAUAUAAGAAAGAUUAAUUGAAACAGAGGGAGUUUUCCCCUUUGAAUUUUAAGUUUGAGUUAUUGGUUGGUAAAUACUUGACUUUACUUUUGCAAUUCCCUUUCUUGAUUCAGAUCGGAGAGAAAAAUAAACUAAAUAAAAAAAUUGAAAUCGUUCAUAGGAAAUAUCACUUGAGAGAAAAAAACUUAAGUAGUAUCUAGAUACGCGCUUUUGCACAUGUACCUAAUCGUAUUAAUUAAUGAGUACAUAUAAAUUUUUAAAAAUUACAUAAAUAUAUAUUAUAACAAUGCUUUUGACUUAAUUAGAUAUUUUCUCUAUCUCAAUUUAUGUGGUAAUGUUUGACUGAGCACAAAGUUUAAGAAAUAAGGAAAGAUUUUUGUGAUGCAGUUGGAUCACACAUUAUGGAUCCAGACAUGUACAAUGCUGCAAUGAAAGGCAAAAUGGUAUAUGGAAAAUUUUCACUUGCUGAUCUGAGAAGAGUGGAAAAUAGAUACCAAGUCACUCCAAACGGAAACACAAUCCUCCAUGUGGCAGCUCUCUUUGGCCAACAGAAUUUUGUGGGAAAAGUCCUUCAGAUUAGCACAGCAUUAUUAUGUUAUAAAAAUAUGAAAAAUGAAACUGCGCUUCACAUUGCAGCUGAUUUAGGACAAAGUGAAGUGGUGAGAAAACUACUUAGCUUUGAAGGAGUGGAGACACUUGUGAGGAUGACGGAUGACAUUGGAGAUACGGCCUUGCACAAGGCCGUGAGAAGUGGACACGUUGACAUUGUCAGGAGUUUGAUGGAUUUAUUACAAAAUCCUGCACACGACUUCCCGGCCAAUAAGGCUGGGGAGACACCACUUUAUCUGGCCGCGGAGUCUGGUUUUCAUGAUGCUUUGAUUGAAAUCUUGAACGUUUGCAAGGAACCAACUUAUGUUACAGGUCCACUCAAUCGAACACCUCUACAUGCAGCCGUAUUUCAAGAACACAC
rnacentral:lncRNA from 1 species